rnacentral:tRNA from 2 species
UGGGGUGUAGCUCAGAUGGUAGAGUGUGUGCCUAGGAUGCAUGAAACUUUGGGUUUGAUCCCCAACACUGCAC